UUGAAGGAAAUAUAAAUUCACGUCUGUACAGAAAAGGGUGCAGCUCAAGCAAAUUGCAUGAAGAAUAUGAUGCAGGAGAAGAAAGUUCAACACUAUUCAGCAAUAGCAAAAAUGAAACACAAAUGUGUCAUUUUUGCCUAUUAGAAUGGUUGAAUUGGAUCAUCAAAGGUUUGUAUAAUAUUCAGAGGAAUACUGAAUCUGUUUUUGUGCAGGUGAGAUGACUAAAUAAAUACAUGUUCAUAUUUAGUCUAGAACUACAGUAACAUAAUUUUUACACAGCGCACACAACGCCUCUGCACUUACUCACGAUUUCUCUCAACAUGGGGACAGGAGAGCUGUCAGUCAAUAAAUGUGAAAACAAAGUAACUGGCGUUACUUAUUUGAAAAGUCUUCGGCCCUCAGACGACACCGCAUCACUCAUCGGCAUGAUUCUGUCAUUGACAUUACUAAAUGGGCCCAGGAAUACUUCCAGAAACCACUGUCAGUAAACACAAUCCGCCGUGCCAUCUGCAGAUGCCAACUAAAGCUCUAUCAUGCAAAAAGGAAGCCAUAUGCCAUAAUCCAUAUCCUUCGGAUGAGACUUUAAACCGAGGUCCUAACUCUCUGUGGUCAUUAAAAAUCCCAGAGUGUCUUUCGAAAAGAGCAGAGGUGUGACCUCGGCAUCCUGGCCAAAUUCACCCAUUGGCCUCUGACCAUCAUGGCCUCCUAACAAUCCCCAUAACUGCUGAUUGGCUUCAUCACUCUGCCUCCUCUCCACCAAUAAGCUGGUGUGUGGUGGGUGUUCUGGCGCACUAUGGCCGUGUCCUCUGGGCUAAAGAGGAGGGAGAACUUCCAGCGUGUUAUAAGCGUUCAGUUCAAAAGCCAUCAUCUCUGAUAGUAUGGGGAUGCAUAAGUUCAUACGAUAUGGGCAGCUUGCAUGUUUUGGAAGGCACUAUGAAUGCUGAAAGGUAUAUAAAGGUUUUAGAGCAACAUAUGCUCCCCUCCAGACGACGCUGUGUAUUUCAGCAGGACAAUGCAAAACCACAUAUUGCAGCUAUUACAACAGCAUGGCUUCAUAGUAGAAGAGUCCGGGUGCUGAAUUGGCCUGCCUGCAGUCCAGAUCUUUCAAUUAUAGAUAACAUUUGGCGCAUCAUUAAACGAAAAAUACAUCAGAGAUGACCACAAACUCCUCAGCAGCUGGACACCUGUAUCAGGCAAGAAUGGGACCAAAUUCCAUCACCAAAACUCCAGAAACUCAUAAGAUCGAUGUCCAGAUGUCUUCAAACUGUUUUGAAAAGAAGAUGCUACACCAGGGGUGAGCAAUUAAUUUUCCCAAGGGGCCACAUGAGAAAUUUGGGUGGUUGCAGAGGGCCGGACCAAUACACUUAACUUAGUUCUGCCCAAUAUAUUUUAUAUCUCUCUAUAAAUGGAACAUUACAAUCAUACAAUGAAAAUGUGGAGCACACAAUUAUACCAGUAGCUAAUGAACAUUCACAAAAACAGUUUUGAAAAUGUGCAUUUUUUUUGCAGUGUUUCAAAAACUACCAUCACAAUUUUGAACAAAAAAAUCAAGUAUUUAAAAGAUUAUGGACGUGACAUUCGCAGUCAAAAUCUGAAACACACAUUCUCAUAGAAUGUAUUCAUUACCAAUAGCUAUAUUGGACCAUCUCUUCAUAUUUUUCUAAACCACUGAAAAUAGAGUCCAGACAUCAGUAAAGUAUCAGUUUAUAAACAAUGAGGAAAAUAGGAUACACAUGCGUUAUGUGUAUCCUAUGCGGACGUGACAAAAAAAAAAAAAAAAAAGACAAGUUUUUGGGAGACAACGUAGGCCUAUUUGUAGACUUUCUGUGAUUUACAAUGCACAGCCCAGAAGCAACAAUAUCUGCCAGAUGGAAAGGGUUGGCUAUUCACAACAUAAAAUAUAGCCUACAUAGGCUAUUUUUUUAUUUAAAUAAAUUCAUUUUUGUGUUUCAGAGGAAAAAAUCAAUGUUACGGACAGACAUCUCUCCGUUACGGAUGUGACAGUUCUGAAAGCAGAAUUUAUCCGACAAUGGAAACGUGUAGCUAAAAUGCUCAUUAUUAACUAAUUGCAUCCCAGACAGCAGUUGACUCUGUGCUGGAUCCGUUUUCAAACCGGCAAAUCCGUAUUACAGUCACAUCCGUUUCAGUGCUGUAGCACGGAUCCAGCCCGGUCCGGUUUCAG